rnacentral:rRNA from 1 species
UACGAAGGGGGCGAGCGUUGUUCGGAUUUACUGGGCGUAAAGGGCGCGCAGGCGGCCGCUCAAGUCAGGCGUGAAAGCCCCGGGGCUUAACCUGGGAGGUGCGUCUGGGACUGGGUGGCUGGAGAUCGGGAGAGGAGAGGUGGAAUUCCCGAGUGUAGAGGUGAAAUUCGAUAGAUAUUGGGAAGGAACACCGGUGGCGAAGGCGGCUCUCUGGACCGAUACGUGACGCUGAGGCGCGAAAGCGUGGGGAGCAAACAGG